rnacentral:rRNA from 1 species
CACUGCCGAGAAAAGCCUCUAGAUAGAAAAUAGGUGCCCGUACCGCAAACCGACACAGGUAGUCAAGAUGAGAAUUCUAAGGUGAGCGAGCGAACUCUCGUUAAGGAACUCGGCAAAAUGACCCCGUAACUUCGGGAGAAGGGGUGCUCUUUAGGGUUAACGCCCAGAAGAGCCGCAGUGAAUAGGCCCAAGCGACUGUUUAUCAAAAACACAGGUCUCUGCUAAACCGUAAGGUGAUGUAUAGGGGCUGACGCCUGCCCGGUGCUGGAAGGUUAAGAGGAGUGGUUAGCUUCUGCGAAGCUACGAAUCGAAGCCCCAGUAAACGGCGGCCGUAACUAUAACGGUCCUAAGGUAGCGAAAUUCCUUGUCGGGUAAGUUCCGACCCGCACGAAAGGCGUAACGAUUUGGGCACUGUCUCAACGAGAGACUCGGUGAAAUCAUAGUACCUGUGAAGAUGCAGGUUACCCGCGACAGGACGGAAAGACCCCGUGGAGCUUUACUGUAGCCUGAUAUUGAAAUUCGGCACAGCUUGUACA